CUGAAGGCAGACCAAGGCACAGGAGAUAGAACAUAUAGUGGCUGGGUGGAGGCUGCAUAAGCUACAUCUUGCUGUAGAGAGGAGCAUUUGCUGAAAGCCUGUUCAGGCAAUGAGCAUGUGUUGGGAGUGGUGGUGUUCUGCUGGCCUGAGCAGUGUCAGCCUGAGUUGCUUGCUCCUGCCUCGUCCCAUCUGUUGUGUGCUGCUGCUCCCCUCCUCUGCUGGCUUUAUUCUGCCUGGGUCUGUGCUUGGCUGUGUGGUGGAGAUGCUGUGCAGGGGCCAGGAGGGAGAGAGUCUAUUCAUGGUGGUGCUAACCCCAGCUGGGGCUUAUGACAGAGAAAUGGCAUGGACCCAGGCAGCCUCAGAGGUCUGUAGGUCAGUGUCACGCGAUGUCCCUGCCUGUCUGUGCUAGGAGGCACCUGGAGAGACAGCGCAGGCUGCUCUGCUCUGUGAAGGGUGCACGGUUUAUGCUCAUUGUGCUGUGUGCUAGGAAGACUUGCUACAGCAGGGUUCCCUGAGCUUCCUUGCCUCAGCUGUGUCCCUUGCAAGCCUUCCAGCCCAUGCUGUUUGCUCCAAGUGUUGGCAAGGCUGCUGAUCCUGUCCAUCAGUUUUACAUAAAAACAGCAGGAAGAGCAUGCUGCUGGUCUGAAAAAUAGUCAGCUUCUUUUUGUUGCCUUUGUCAGUACAGGAAAGACCUCCCGCUGCUGACUGUUCCCUGUGAGCGUGUGCUGUCACUGCACAGUUCUUGCUAUUUCCUGCAUCUGUUUCUCUUGCAUCUCAUGUGCUUUGCUGUUGAAUUUCUGAGCUGCAAGCCGGCAGCCUGCUCUUUGGCCCUCAGCUUUCAUGUCCAUCUACAUCACAUCUGACAUUCACCUCUUUCCUCCUGGCUGCUGUGACACCAGACCCUGAGCCAGCUGUAGCCCCAUAAUCGGAGAUCUCCUUGCUGCUACUGCUGUCAGGAAGUGACAGUCCCCAACAUCAUCCAGGAGAGCAAAGGAGGGUGACCAGGCUUGUUCUUGGAGUCUGCCAUGCCGCUGGGGAUGCCUUUAUCAGCACAGAAGUCUUGUUGAUUGAGUGUGAGGUUACCAUGAAAGGAUAAAUGGCAAAGCAAGGAGAUAAUCAGACGAGAGCUGGUGAGGCUCAAGAGUGAAGUGCUGUGAUGGGGGAAAACCUGCCCUGCACUUGCAGGUCAGAGCCAAGGUGAGGAGAAGGUGCCCCUCUGGGGAUCCGUCUGGAAGCAGGGUGGCGGAAGGGAGCAGGGGCCUUGCUGUCUUCCACUGCCCAGCACAGCCUGCGGGCUGCAAGGACUGUGGGGAGAGGGAGUGUAGUGGCUGUGUCCUGCGCUCCCACUCAGACCUGUUGGCCUCUUGUGCUUUUGCUGAAUGAGAAGAAUAGGGGAGGGAGCAGGAAAUUCAGUAAACUACCCCAAAAUAACCAGGAGAGACAAUUUCCCAUGGAUCACAAUGCAAGUGGUGGGGUACCAGGAAUUUAGCUAUUCCCUGGGGAGAGGAGAAAUUCUUUAGUCUUUUUUUUUUUUUUUUUUUUUUUUUUUUUUUUAACCAACCAGUUUCUAGAUACUGGGCACCAGUCUGCCAGUGUGCCAGUCAGUGCAAUUAGUAAUUGCCUCCCUAGGAGAAGUACUGUACAAAGGCAGGCAGGCACGUCACACACUGACUCCGUCCAAUGCUUCCAGCAAGAUUUAAGAUAAGGAACUAAUGCACCAUGUGUAGAGUGAAUAUUUUGUUAAGGUUUACAACUUACACAAUUUUACUGCAGUCUUACAAAUGUUGUGGUUUGGAGUCAGUCCAGCAAAGGUAGAAGGAACAUACGAAGGAAGACGACGGGUGGGUAACUCAGGAGGUACCGAGGAGCAGUCAUGGCUGGCUUCGUCCAGUUUGGGGUUGUGCUGCAGCCGAAAGGCCAGUCCCACUGCACGUGAUGCCUCUUGCACCCGCUCUGGCAGCUGGGUGGCUGAGCUGGUCUCCCUCUUUCCCCUGUGACUGUGAAAGUAAGGGAAGGGCUAGGAAGGCUUGACAGGGAGAGGAGAGGACUGUCCCUCUCAGUUGUGUCAGCUGAUGUUGCUGGGCUGCCAGGCAAAACUGCUGGGGCUUGAUGGAAAGGGUAACUAGAGCAAGCCAUCCAAGGAGCAACGCACACCCUGAGGUCCCCCAAAAUACAGCAGGAGUUGGCACCAGCAAGACUGAUUCACCAGCAGACAUCACUCCUGUUCUAGGUCACAAGGUGUCUCCAGCUCCGGUACCAGCCCCGAGCUCAGCCAUCAGUGCCUCGGCAGGCAGUCUGUGUGCGGAGGACAGAUUUCCAAUAUUGUUUGCUGCUCUUUGGAGCAACGUUGCCAGAGAGGCAGAUCCAUUACAUGUGGCAUGCAAUGAGUGACUUCGGAACUGGGAUUUACAGUGCAGACAAUGUGUCAGUGGCUGGAGCAGUCUUCCUGCUUGUGGCAGCAGGAACCCAGG